GAAUGACAAGAAGAUCCUGGAACUCAUGUCCAACAUCAUCCAGCUGCUGACUGGAGAGGUUGCCAUAAGGACUCAUCAUGUUUCCAUCUAUUUUUCCUUGGACGAGUGGGACUAUAUAAAAGGAAACAAGGACCUUUACAGGGAAGGGAUAAAGGAGAAUCCCCAGAAGCUCUGCCCACUGGG